rnacentral:rRNA from 1 species
UACGUAGGGUGCAAGCGUUAAUCGGAAUUACUGGGCGUAAAGCGCACGUAGGCGGCUUCUUAAGUCAGGGGUGAAAUCCUGGAGCUCAACUCCAGAACUGCCUUUGAUACUGAGGAGCUUGAGUCCGGGAGAGGUGAGUGGAACUGCGAGUGUAGAGGUGAAAUUCGUAGAUAUUCGCAAGAACACCAGUGGCGAAGGCGGCUCACUGGCCCGGUACUGACGCUGAGGUGCGAAAGCGGUGGGGAGCAAACAGG